GGUGGGUAGUUUGACUGGGGCGGUCUCCUCCUAAAGAGUAACGGAGGAGCACGAAGGUUGGCUAAUCCUGGUCGGACAUCAGGAGGUUAGUGCAAUGGCAUAAGCCAGCUUGACUGCGAGCGUGACGGCGCGAGCAGGUGCGAAAGCAGGUCAUAGUGAUCCGGUGGUUCUGAAUGGAAGGGCCAUCGCUCAACGGAUAAAAGGUACUCCGGGGAUAACAGGCUGAUACCGCCCAAGAGUUCAUAUCGACGGCGGUGUUUGGCACCUCGAUGUCGGCUCAUCACAUCCUGGGGCUGAAGUAGGUCCCAAGGGUAUGGCUGUUCGCCAUUUAAAGUGGUACGCGAGCUGGGUUUAGAACGUCGUGAGACAGUUCGGUCCCUAUCUGCCGUGGGCGCUGGAGAACUGAGGGGGGCUGCUCCUAGUACGAGAGGACCGGAGUGGACGCAUCACUGGUGUUCGGGUUGUCAUGCCAAUGGCACUGCCCGGUAGCUAAAUGCGGAAGAGAUAAGUGCUGAAAGCAUCUAAGCACGAAACUUGCCCCGAGAUGAGUUCUCCCUGACCCUUUAAGGGUCCUGAAGGAACGUUGAAGACGACGACGUUGAUAGGCCGGGUGUGUAAGCGCAGCGAUGCGUUGAGCUAACCGGUACUAAUGAAC
rnacentral:rRNA from 1 species